UACGUAGGGGGCAAGCGUUGUCCGGAAUUAUUGGGCGUAAAGCGCGCGCAGGCGGUUUCUUAAGUCUGGUGUGAAAGCCCGCAGCUCAACUGCGGAGGGCCACUGGAAACUGGGAAGCUUGAGUGUAGGAGAGGAGAGCGGAAUUCCACGUGUAGCGGUGAAAUGCGUAGAUAUGUGGAGGAACACCCGUGGCGAAAGCGGCUCUCUGGCCUAUAACUGACGCUGAGGCGCGAAAGCGUGGGGAGCAAACAGG
rnacentral:rRNA from 1 species